rnacentral:rRNA from 1 species
AAACGUAGGGGGCGAGCGUUGUCCGGAAUUACUGGGCGUAAAGAGCGUGUAGGCGGUCUGUUAAGUCAGGUGUGAAACCUCCGGGCCUAACCGGGAGCGUGCAUCUGAAACUGGCGGACUUGAGAGCAGGAGAGGAAAGUGGAAUUCCUAGUGUAGCGGUGAAAUGCGUAGAUAUUAGGAAGAACACCAGUGGCGAAGGCGGCUUUCUGGCCUGCAACUGACGCUGAGACGCGAAAGCCAGGGGAGCGAACGGGAUUAGAUACCCCGGUAGUCCUGGCCGUAAACGAUGGGCACUAGGUGUAGGAGGUAUCGACCCCUCCUGUGCCGGAGCAAACGCAAUAAGUGCCCCGCCUGGGGAGUACGGCCGCAAGGUUGAA